GCCACAUGAUGUUCACAUUUGGAACAGUGAGUGCUUUGCGCAAUGCUGACCAUUAUCUAUCACCCUGGACUGAUGGCU